rnacentral:rRNA from 1 species
UACAGAGGGUGCGAGCGUUGUUCGGAAUUAUUGGGCGUAAAGGGCGCGUAGGCGGUUCGUACAGUCAGACGUGAAAUCCUGGGCUCAACCUGGGGGCUGCGUUUGAUACGUGCGGACUUGAGUGCGGAAGAGGGUCGUGGAAUUCCCAGUGUAGAGGUGAAAUUCGUAGAUAUUGGGAAGAACACCGGUGGCGAAGGCGGCGACCUGGUCCGAUACUGACGCUGAGGCGCGAAAGCGUGGGGAGCAAACAGGG